CCGAAUCUAAAAAGGGGGAAAGGAAAGAAACGGGUCAUUUACCCCAUUUCUCAAUUUUGAAGCCGAUGAAAACCUAGCCCAACAUCUAAAGCAGAUGUCUGACUUUCUCGUAAUGCUCCUCGUCGAAUCGAAUUCGGCGUUGAGACAUAUAUUUUUGGUUAAUGCGCGUAAUACAUAAAUAAUAUUGUUAAUUUUUCGAUACAUUUUUGUACUAUAAACAGUGAUAUGAUAUAUUUGUUGUCAUUAAUUUGGUGAUAUUUGUUGUCAGAUAAUGGUGAUAUAUGUGAAAAAUACUUUUUGA